rnacentral:rRNA from 1 species
GACGAACGCUGGCGGCGUGCUUAACACAUGCAAGUCGAACGGAAAGGCCCUGCUUUUGUGGGGUGCUCGAGUGGCGAACGGGUGAGUAACACGUGAGUAACCUGCCCUUGACUUUGGGAUAACUUCAGGAAACUGGGGCUAAUACCGGAUAGGAGCUCCUGCUGCAUGGUGGGGGUUGGAAAGUUUCGGCGGUUGGGGAUGGACUCGCGGCUUAUCAGCUUGUUGGUGGGGUAGUGGCUUACCAAGGCUUUGACGGGUAGCCGGCCUGAGAGGGUGACCGGCCACAUUGGGACUGAGAUACGGCCCAGACGCCUACGGGAGGCAGCAGUGGGGAAUAUGGCACAAUGGGCGGAAGUCUGAUGCAGCAACGCCGCGUGCGGGAUGACGGGCUUCGGGUUGUAAACCGCUUUCGCCUGUGACGAAGCGUGAGUGACGGUAAUGGGUAAAGAAGCACCGGCUAACUACGUG